CAUCGUACCCGCUCGCCCUUUUCUUUCUCUCCACACCCACGCCCGUACUCUCUCUCCAUUAAUCUCAUCUCUCUCUCUCUCUGUCUCCAUUAUCUCAAGAUCCAUCUAGCCCUUCCUCCUCCACGGCCGGCCACCCUCCCGAUCUGGAGGUCUCCGACCAGAUCAUUCCCCUCCCCACCACGGCAUGCGGCAUGGAGUCCCGGGAUCGCUCGCCGUCAACCAAUGCUAUGCGGAUCUGGCGAGUCCUAACUCACCAAGAUCCCAUGACGGACAAGGUUUGUUGCGCCUCCUCCUGAAGCUGUCGAGGACCAUGAACGCCACUUCCUCUCACCGGCUCAGCACCAACACUUUCACUACCCGCAGGUGUACAAAAUUGCUUGUUCCCGGAUGGAUAUAGUAGCACAUGGAUCCAUCACCUUUGGUCUUGUCUGGUGUUCUCCCGUGCGUGACGAAUUUCGAAGGAUGAAACAGAGGCUGGGCGACAGGGAGAUUACGCUGGAAGUGUGUUGCCUUGUGCCAGAUCCGCCACGAAGUGAGCUGGCCCUCUCCUCCUCUCAUGCCGACAUCGGCAUAUUGCCCUGCUUCUUCCACGGCUUGAUGAACCUACCUUCGCCAGCUUGAUUGAUUUUAAUCGAGAGAAAACUAGUUCGAUUGAGUUUUAUCUUAAAAAGGCUAGUCAUCGCCUGAUGGCCAUUGUAUAGAUAAAAUAUGCUGCAGUUUAUUCUUCCUGUACUACUGCAAUAAGGCAACGUUUCAUCACUAUUCAGUUCUAUGCAAUUCUCUUUCUGUUUUUUGCUCUGGUUCAUGAGCAGUAAAUUUUAAAGUUUCCAACAUACAGUUUGCAAUAUUAUGGGCAGAAUUGUACAAGAACUUUUUGGACGUCUC